CCCUUAGAUGUUCUGGGCCGCACGCGCGCUACACUGAUGCAUUCAACAAGCCUAGCCUUGACCGAGAGGUCCGGGUAAUCUUUGAAACUGCAUCGUGAUGGGGCUAGAUUAUUGCAAUUAUUAAUCUUCAACGAGGAAUGCCUAGUAAGCGUGAUUCAUCAAAUCGCGUUGAUUACGUCCCUGCCCUUUGUACACACCGCCCGUCGCUCCUACCGAUUGAAUGUGUUGGUGAGGAGCUCGGAUUGGCAACAGUUGGUGGUUCGCCACCGGCUAUUGCUGAGAAGUCCUCCAAACCGCCCCAUUUAGAGGAAGGAGAAGUCGUAACA
rnacentral:rRNA from 1 species